AAGCACUCAGCUGUCGAGAUCUGUGGACGCUGAUGGAUGUGCACCAGUCAGACUAAAAUAGAUUGAUCCAAUUGGUCUUGGGCAUGAUGUCCUGGAAAUUAUAAAAUCCUGACUAAUUUUGAGAAAAAAAAAGUUUAAUUAUGCUUACUAGAUGAAUCUUAACAGAAAAACGAGAACUUGGAAGAGUCUCUGCAGCAUGGGAACAAAAAGAACUUUCUGGAUGUAUAAAACCCAGGUUUCCCACCUUACAUGGGAAAAGCUGCUAGCAGACAGUGACAUGGCCCUCAAAGUGCCUGGGCUUUGGGCCACA